rnacentral:rRNA from 1 species
GACGAACGCUGGCGGCGUGCUUAACACAUGCAAGUCGAACGGUAAGGCCCUUCGGGGUACACGAGUGGCGAACGGGUGAGUAACACGUGGGUGAUCUGCCCUGCACCUCGGGAUAAGCCUGGGAAACUGGGUCUAAUACCGGAUAGGACCACUGCCUGCAUGGGUGGUGGUGGCAAGCUUUUGCGGUGUGGGAUGGGCCCGCGGCCUAUCAGCUUGUUGGUGGGGUGAUGGCCUACCAAGGCGACGACGGGUAGCCGGCCUGAGAGGGUGACCGGCCACACUGGGACUGAGAUACGGCCCAGACUCCUACGGGAGGCAGCAGUGGGGAAUAUUGCACAAUGGGCGCAAGCCUGAUGCAGCGACGCCGCGUGAGGGAUGACGGCCUUCGGGUUGUAAACCUCUUUCAGCACCGACGAAGCGCAAGUGACGGUAGGUGCAGAAGAAGGACCGGCCAACUACGUGCCAGCCGCCGCCGUAAGAC